UUAAAAUAGCUAGAGGGAAAGUUUUAGCUUGCCUGAUCGAUUAGGUCCUUUGUCUAAUAAAAUAAAUUAGUUCAAGCUUGUGCCCUAAGCAAUUCAGACAAUGCCUUAAUGAUGUACAACGACUAAAUAUAUUUUCCUUCCUUUAAUGGAACUUACAAAUGAUUAUUUUUAUCUUCUAAUUGAUUAGGAAUAAAUGCUAA
rnacentral:lncRNA from 1 species